rnacentral:tRNA from 1 species
AGUAAAGUGGCAGAUAAAUGCCUUAGGUUUAAGCCCUAAUCAAGGAGUCUACUCCCUUUACUA